AAAUGUCACAGUAUACUGAAAACUACCAGCUGGAAAUGAAAUUAUUUUCCGUUUUCUGAAAUGCAUUUAGCGUGCGACCGACGAUUUGUAGAAAAUAGAAACGACGAGUUGUUUUCCGCACGAUGUAGUGACAAUCGCUAGUAGACAAGCAGAUCAUAAACGUUCACUGUUGCUCACAAAUGUGGGACCUUGGACCCCAGAUCCCAAAGUCCGAGUGAACUCAAGCGUCGACGGGCCGGUGAAUACUGCCAACUUGAAGAUCGGUAUAGCAUCUUGCUCUAAGUGUCGUCAUACUUGUGCCAUGGCGGGCUAUCCAAGCAGUGGAAAAAGGUUAAACAAAUUUUGGAUCUUAGAUCUAAUUAUCAAUUUAACAGGCAAUUAGUUUUAACAAUUAUUUAAUAUAAUGUAGUGAAAUUUAUAUUUCAUAACAAUAGCAUAAAAGUUGUGAAUAAUA